rnacentral:rRNA from 1 species
UGGGGAAUAUUGCACAAUGGGCGCAAGCAUGAUGCAGCCAUGCCGCGUGUAUGAAGACGGCCUUCGGGUUGUAAAGUACUUUCAGCGAGGAGGAAGGCGUUGUGGUUAAUAACCGCAGCGAUUGACGUUACUCGCAGAAGAAGCACCGGCUAACUCCGUGCCAGCAGCCGCGGUAAUACGGAGGGCGCAAGCGUGAAUCGGCAUUACUGGGCGUAAAGCGCACGCAGGCGGUCUGUCAAGUCGGAUGUGAAAUCCCCGGGCUCAACCUGGGAACUGCAUCCGAAACUGGCAGGCUAGAGUCUUGUAGAGGGGGGUAGAAUUCCAGGUGUAGCGGUGAAAUGCGUAGAGAUCUGGAGGAAUACCGGUGGCGAAGGCGGCCCCCUGGACAAAGACUGACGCUCAGGUGCGAAAGCGUGGGGAGCAAACA